UACGAAGGGGGCUAGCGUUGCUCGGAAUCACUGGGCGUAAAGCGCACGUAGGCGGGUCUUUAAGGCAGGGGUGAAAUCCUGGAGCUCAACUCCAGAACUGCCUUUGAUACUGAGGAUCUCGAGUCCGGGAGAGGUGAGUGGAACUCCGAGUGUAGAGGUGAAAUUCGUAGAUAUUCGGAAGAACACCAGUGGCGAAGGCGGCUCACUGGCCCGGUACUGACGCUGAGGUGCGAAAGCGUGGGGAGCAAACAGG
rnacentral:rRNA from 1 species